CAUAUGGUCAUUGUUGCCAGUCUCAUGGUGAGCAUUAAUACACUGGUCUUCAAAAGAUGGUGGCAUAUUCAUACACCAGCUACAUGAUAACGUGCCAGCCGUCACGCGAUUGUCAGGCGCCCAAGUCCAUAACACUCAAUGUGGCAGAGGGGUCUGAGAAUGACCUCAGUGCCGAGUGACUCUGCAAGAUGGCAGGAGGGUACGACUGUCCCGUUAGGUGACCGGCGUUGUUGAUGUGUUUGCAUUGCCCCCUAACAGCUGAAUCUGCUCUCUCUCUUUCAUGGCUGCACCCGUCUUUGCUCUCGCAGCCCCUGCUCGGUCCCUGUCAGGCCUGCAAAGGGAAACUGCUUCCUGAAUAGCUCUUAUUUUAUGCCCUAUCCCUCUGUCAUAUGGUUUUGUUUGCCUGCCUGACUGGAGCAAUUCUCACCGCUCGUCUCUCCAACACCUUCCCACUGUGCCGCUGUCUGCUAAGGAGAUUCCUAUUCAGAAAAAAAAGUUUUGGGGCCAGCAACACGUCGUUUCCUUCGGCUCACACCCAACAGACAUCGCCGACAACUUCUCCACGCAGUAACGUCCCACUCACAUGGAUGAAUUUCCAGCUGAAGUAUGUUCCUUACCACCAGGGGAAGGCUACCCUCAGGAAAGGGAUUCUGCCUUGUCUGCUGCGAUCUCCAGUCCUGGGUCUAAGCAUCUGAUGUCUAACUCUGUCCAAUGUUCAUGGUCCUGCCCCAUGUCCUGGCCUGUCCUCUCGUCCGAUCGCUUGGGUUCCAUCCUGAUUUACUUGGCGCGCCCGGAGUGUGCCAAUUGGAGGGGGAGGAUAUUAUCACAUCCAGCCCCACUCUGGUUGUCUGUUCCCAGUAUUUCCCUUGGGCUUGGCCGCUAAUCAGGUGCUCCUGAAGCUUGUUAGUCUUUCCUCUUGUUCCUGCCCUCUUGUUAACCAGCCCCAGCUGCCUCGUGUUCACCAUUCUGUUAAUUAUGUAUAAAAUGUAUAAAACUGUCUCCUAGUUCUGUGCUUCCUGUUCAGUCAUUGUUCUCUGUUCGCAUAUGUUGCUUAGCCUGUCCUCUCCAAUAAACUCCCCUGCGAAGGGUUGCACUUGCUCCCAGUCUGCAUUCAGGUCAUCCUAACGCUGCU